rnacentral:rRNA from 1 species
CCUACGGGAGGCAGCAGUGGGGAAUUUUGGACAAUGGGCGAAAGCCUGAUCCAGCCAUGCCGCGUGCAGGAUGAAGGCCUUCGGGUUGUAAACUGCUUUUGCACGGAACGAAAAGGUCUUUUCUAAUAAAGAAGGCUCAUGACGGUACCGUAAGAAUAAGCACCGGCUAACUACGUGCCAGCAGCCGCGGUAAUACGUAGGGUGCGAGCGUUAAUCGGAAUUACUGGGCGUAAAGCGUGCGCAGGCGGUUAUAUAAGACAGUUGUGAAAUCCCCGGGCUCAACCUGGGAACUGCAUCUGUGACUGUAUAGCUAGAGUACGGUAGAGGGGGAUGGAAUUCCGCGUGUAGCAGUGAAAUGCGUAGAUAUGCGGAGGAACACCGAUGGCGAAGGCAAUCCCCUGGACCUGUACUGACGCUCAUGCACGAAAGCGUGGGGAGCAAACAGGAUUAGAUACCCUGGUAGUCCACGCCCUAAACGAUGUCAACUGGUUGUUGGGUCUUCACUUGACUCAGUAACGAAGCUAACGCGUGAAGUUGACCGCCUGGGGAAGUCGGCCGCAAGGUUGAAACUCAAAANAGAGUAGACGGCGUGAGACGAGACGACGGACGACGACGAGGGAGGAGG